rnacentral:lncRNA from 1 species
GAGGAUUAAUCACCUGCACUGACCCAGCUGAUAGUUGGCCAGAUUCCAGAAGCAGGGCUCUGAGAUGACACAUGUGUGAGCUGAAACAAGAUCACAAGACAAAUAACAAGACAAAUAACACCACCACACUAUUAAUAGAAAUACUGUCUGGACUGCAAUUGCCCCAGAGUAUAUACUUUAGCUGGGUGACCACAGAAGAGAGGAAAUGCAAGUACAUCUCUCAGCUGACUGAUUCAAACCUUCAAAGAAAGGAGUUUCCUCAAGCUGUAGUAGGUUGUGAAUAACUAUAAUACACAUUUGUAUGAGAAUUAUUCUCUACUGGCAAAUGAGAAUACUAAAGGUCUGAGUGCUUACACAGCAAUGCAGUAGGGGAACAGUGUCUUAAAAUGAGGACAUUGGAUUUUACACCCCUUCUCAUCACCAUCAUGUCCUGAUGUGCCAUUUCUUCAUAGCUGAUCAGUAUUCACCCAGAGCUUUCAGUUUGGAACACAACAAUCAGUUGACUGGAGAUGGCAGGGAACUAGGGAACUCAGGUUCGUAAUUACUGAUGCUGGUGUGGAGUUCUAGAAUGACUAAUGGUGGGACACAUAGGAGGAACUGUAAGAGCCAUUAAUGUCAAGUAAUAGUGGAAUCAGAUGGAUUAGAACAUGUGGGAGGGCCCAGGGUGUUGGUCAGUGUAGAUCACUUCUCUAACAUUCAUAAAGCCUUAGGUUUGAUUUAUUACACCAAAAGUAAGAAGAAAAGCAGACAUCCAAAAAGACACAAAGACAUAGUCUUGGUUUUCCAACAUCUUUACUUUCACUUACUAGAAAGAACUAUUUGCUAUACAUACUCUUUGAAAGUGUGCAUAACCAAGUCAUAACUUUAAAUCAUUUUUAUCUCUAGUAACUGUUCUACAAAUAUUCAGUUUUCAAUAAACAUUUCUUAGGAAAUUUUUUGAAAGCAUGGUUUCUUUAUUGAUUCUUGAACUGUAGAUGCCAGCAUUAUAAUGUAUAAACCUUAAUCAAAGCACACUGAUAUUUAAUCCACAAAGCAAUUAUGGGAGAUGAAAUAUCUCUUGCUAAACUUUUCUCAUCACCCAAAUAUUCCUUUUUAACUGGGUUCUCCUCAAUUUUUAAUAAUAAUUUCAUUUGUAUUAAGGAGCCUACUAAUUUCAUGUUUAGACUUAAUGUUUGAACCUCCAACAAAGAACUGAUAUUUCUGGUUGAAUUUCAGUUCCAUGACUCCAUGGCAGAAUAAUUUUUGGUUACUACAAAUGAAGUUGAUAGGUAGCUGUGGUAUACAUAUAGCAGGCAAAGUCAUCUAGUAUAUAUUGUGGAUGCCACACAAAGGGCUAUGAUAUAAACUCUACAUGAUUUUAUACCCAAAAUUUACCUAAAACCUUAGCCUUUUUAACAAAGACCCAUACAAGUUUGUUCAAAAGGCAUUGGAAAUUUAGUGCACCCCAAACCCACAAUCAGUGGAGAAAUGAGUAUUAUGAAUAGGUUGCUUACCUUUGGCCAAUGGGCCAGUCUGGCUUAGACAUGUAUUCAUGUUCUCUGAAAACUCUUUUAAAAUUGUGCAAUGUGCCUGGCAUGGUGGCACAUGCCUAUAAUCCCAGUGGUUCUGGAGGCCGAGGCAGGAAGAUCGUGAGUUCAAAGCCAGCCUCGGCAAUGGUGAGGCACUAAGCAACUUAGUGAAACCCUGUCUCUAAAUAAAAUAUAAAAUAGGGCUGGGGAUGUGGCUUAAUGGCUGAGUGCCCCUGAGGUCACUUCCUGGUACCCCCCCCCCAGCAAAAAAAUUGUACAGUGUACUCAUACUUCUUCAUAAGAAGAAGAGAGUGG